UGUAGUAAAUGGAUGUAAGGUUUUCAGUCGAAGGUGAGAGAGGAGACAUGAACUGAAUCGCCAAAGGCUACAAAACAUACGAAUGGGGAUACAGGUCUCGUGUUGGUCAGGAGCCGAAUGAGUCAGUCUUCGGAAAGGGAAUGGCGCUGCAAAUCAGUUCCGUGACAUUUUUUCAUGUUGCGGUUGUUACAGAGUACAGACAAACAUUUCUGCCCGAAUUUUAGGUCCUCGAAUCUUCGAAAACAUCAGAAAUACUGAAGAAUGACUAAUCAUUGGAUUGGAUUCGCAAGGAUCCGCAAAGACCUUGUGUUUUUGGGCUAUGGGUCAAGCAGUGUUUAAUAGGAACCGAAUGAAGCGUGUACCCAAAGGCCAAUCUGUCUUCACAGUCGUAACAUGAAAUAAUUUAGCUUCGUGCCAAACAGUGGCAGAAGGUUGCUGGUUGGCAAACUUCCUAGAAGCCAGUUUGGCAGUGAUAGCGGCCUGAAGAAGGAGCAGCACUAAAGAGGACAGUCAAAGAACCUGCAAAUGAAAGCAAUAAAAGAUCAGAGUCAAGUUUUGAAUUUCUGGCUUGACGACGAAGCAGCCCCUACAGCCCUAUAAAAGAGAGGAGUUGUAUAUUGACGAGGAAGGGGACAUCGCAGAAGAGUUCAGCUGAUAACCAGUAAAUCAGGAAAUCCACGAAAAGAAGAGUUCGAAGCUACGAUCUAUCCAAAGCUGGGUGUUCCAAGAUAACGACAUCACUCUAAUCAAUCUGAAGUGUAGGCGAUUUUUGAAAUCUGGUGAACACACUGCGAGGAUACCUUGUGUGAAAGAUGCCCUCUUCUGAAAUACAGAAAGUCGGAGCAAUGUUACGAGAACUUGGAGACCUGACGAACCAAAGCGCUCAAGGAAAUCGUCCGGCCAACGAAAAUAUUGUCGUAAUCCUACUAGUCUUCUUUAUUUAUCUCUGCUGGACUCAUAACCAGCAGAGACGAGAAAUCUAGAAUGCUGACGAGAGAGGCACCAUAACUCUGACCAAUUAAUCAAUUCAUCAGCAUUAAU